rnacentral:rRNA from 1 species
AUGAACGCUGGCGGCGUGCCUAAUACAUGCAAGUCGAGCGAACAGACGAGGAGCUUGCUCCUCUGACGUUAGCGGCGGACGGGUGAGUAACACGUGGAUAACCUACCUAUAAGACUGGGAUAACUUCGGGAAACCGGAGCUAAUACCGGAUAACAUGUUGAACCGCAUGGUUCAACAGUGAAAGACGGUCUUGCUGUCACUUAUAGAUGGAUCCGCGCCGCAUUAGCUAGUUGGUAAGGUAACGGCUUACCAAGGCAACGAUGCGUAGCCGACCUGAGAGGGUGAUCGGCCACACUGGAACUGAGACACGGUCCAGACUCCUACGGGAGGCAGCAGUAGGGAAUCUUCCGCAAUGGGCGAAAGCCUGACGGAGCAACGCCGCGUGAGUGAAGAAGGUCUUCGGAUCGUAAAACUCUGUUAUUAGGGAAGAGCAAAUGUGUAAGUAACUAUGCACGUCUUGACGGUACCUAAUCAGAAAGCCACGGCUAACUACGUG